rnacentral:rRNA from 1 species
UAGGGAAUCUUCCGCAAUGGGCGGAAGCUUGACGGAGCAACGCCGCGUGAGUGAUGAAGGUCUUCGGAUCGUAAAACUCUGUUAUUAGGGAAGAACAAAUGUGUAAGUAACUAUGCACGUCUUGACGGUACCUAAUCAGAAAGCCACGGCUAACUACGUGCCAGCAGCCGCGGUAAUACGUAGGUGGCAAGCGUUAUCCGGAAUUAUUGGGCGUAAAGCGCGCGUAGGCGGUUUUUUAAGUCUGAUGUGAAAGCCCACGGCUCAACCGUGGAGGGUCAUUGGAAACUGGAAAACUUGAGUGCAGAAGAGGAAAGUGGAAUUCCAUGUGUAGCGGUGAAAUGCGCAGAGAUAUGGAGGAACACCAGUGGCGAAGGCGACUUUCUGGUCUGUAACUGACGCUGAUGUGCGAAAGCGUGGGGAUCAAACAGG